CAAGUUUUAGUUUUUGGUAAACUUUAUUAUUUACAUUAAUAUUAAUACUUGUUCAAUUCAAGUAAACUUGA
rnacentral:tRNA from 1 species